ACGGGAUCGUCUGAGACCCUCCACCCAGACAGCUGAUAAAGAAUGUCUCCUUUGGGUGUCUGGUGUUGGCAGCUGCACUUCCUCCCUCAUAUGGGCCCMAGUCACCUGAGGACGACUAGAAUUAAGUCUGAGGCCGGUAACAUCAACAGUGAGGACAAACCCAGCCUGCCCCUCUCUUUCCACACUGAGUUCAAACCUACAUUCACUGGGUCCUGAUUGUGACAGUGGAGCCCAGUUUGCUCUGCAGGAUCCAGAGAUGGCAUCAGUGAAACUGGAGGACUGCAGUCAAACACUGGAGCUGAAUGUCAACAUUAAAUAUGAAGAAGAGGGGAAUAUUGGGAAGUCUGUUAGUUAGAACCUGCUCUUACCAUGACUAAGAGACCAUGUUGAGACAUUCUCUACAUCCAGAGAGCAACAGCAGGAAGAUCACAGAGCUAAGAGGUCUCA